AAAGAAGAAUUUAGGCCUGGCUGCUUUAUUGUAUUGCAUACCACGUAAAAUGAAAUGAAUGCCAAUGCCACGUAGUACGUAUUUUUGUCAUAACAAAACCACGAGUAGUAAAAGUCAAACACAUUGCGAGUUAUUUCUGGAGAAAGUAUUUGGACUUGUCAGUUUAAAUUUUGAACGAGAAAAAUACAGUUUUGGCGUUGAACCCUUGCGAUAAAAAUUCUCACUUUUUUUCGGAAAGUUGUUAUUGUUGGCGUUGCAGUCUUACAAUUUCUGUGAAGAGUCAUCAUACGAGAUGCGGCAGCUGAAGGGAAAAGUGAAGGAGACGCCAAAUCAGAGAAAGGAAAGGAAGAAGGAGUUUCGCGAAAAUAAGGAAAAUGUGAUGAAAAUCGCAGUUCCUGCCCUAAUUAUUACUGCCCUCGUCGUCUUCUUCAUCGUUUAUGUUGCCACGAGUCGUCCCAAAGCGUUCUAGUUUAGGUUAUGCCGGAGUUAACGAAGUAAUUAAUUGUCAACCUUGCUUUAAUUGGAAUUGUGAUAAGUAUUUAACAGGUAUCUUACUUACUUGAUGCUGAAUUGAUAAACUGAUUAUCAUUCCGAGAACCUGACAAAAUCCGUACAAAGGACUUUAUUUGUAUGCAAAAUUGUUGUACUAUACAAAGUUUUCAGUUUUGACUGGUUAUAAAAUUUUAUAAAAGCAACAUUUGGUAUUUCUUAAAGUUAAAGGCUGAGACACAUUUUGGUAACACAUUAUUUCACGGAAACAUCAAAUUAUUAAUGUGAUGGAAUAUACAGAGAAUUAUAAAUAAAUUGAACAUACUGGAGAUUCAGUUUCAUAUACU